AGGAUCCAAGGGUCUGGAACAAAUCCCGUGAGCCCAAGGAGCAGCGGCGGUGGCGCAAGAAGACGAGCCACCCUCCUCGCCUCCGGUGACCUCUACUCGCUGGCGAGCUUCUCUCUGAUUGUCCCGGCUCCAGCUAGAGUAGGCGAGGAUGAGCCUCCCCCAUCCUGGGUGUUGGUGCCUGAUUCAUUUUAUCAAGUUUUGCUACGGACAUGAGCAAUAGAGAUCACCUUAGGAGGAGGGAGGAUGAUGAUGAUGACCUCUUCCUUUUGAUUCUCCCUUCCCUACAUCUCUUGGGCUAUCUUGGAUGUAAUAAAAAGAAAUUGAGUGAAAGCAUCUAGGCCCCUGGUUGGUUUUAGUGAUUAAUGACAACGUAAUGUUAUAUGUGACUAACGUGUG